UACGAAGGGUGCAAGCGUUAAUCGGAAUUACUGGGCGUAAAGGGUGCGUAGGCGGUUCGUUAAGUCUGUCGUGAAAGCCCCGGGCUCAACCUGGGAACUGCGUUUGGUACUGGCAAGCUAGAGUACGGCAGAGGGGGGUAGAAUUCCACGUGUAGCAGUGAAAUGCGUAGAGAUGUGGAGGAACACCGAUGGCGAAGGCAGCCCCCUGGGUCAAGACUGACGCUCAUGCACGAAAGCGUGGGGAGCAAACAGG
rnacentral:rRNA from 1 species